AGGAGAAUCAGUUAAUCAUUGAAUUAAUCAGUUAAUCAGGCGCAAAUUCCCCAGGCAAAAUGAGCAGCACACUUUCACUGACCCUGCUGCUUCUGCUGACAGGUUGUGUAUAUCUUAGCAAUGCUGCUCCUUUGGUACAGGAGUUGAGUUGUAAGUGCGUCAAGACAAUUUCAGACUUUAUCCCUCCAAAAUAAAUCGCUAACCUAAACAUAACACCAGAAGGACCACACUGCACUAACAUGGAAGUAAUUAUCACUCUGAAAAAUGGAGGGAAGGAGAUCUGUGUAAAUCCCGAAAUCAAAUGGGUGCAGAGAGUUAUUACAACAUUUAUGCACAG